rnacentral:lncRNA from 1 species
UUUUUUUUUACUUUUAGGACAUUGUUGGCAUUUUCACUAUUGUUGUUGUUGCUGCAUUGCUGUUGCGUUAGUCCUGACUACUAGGUCUCGUUGUUCUGAACUUGUUGCUUUUGAUCCUGAAGUAGAGAGAACUUUGCACACACAACGUAGAGCAGCCCAGGUUAUCACUAGUUCAUCACCCAUAAUCGAGUCUGAGUCUGACUAUUUGCAUAACUUGUUUGAUUCGGAUUCUGAAUUUGAU